rnacentral:rRNA from 1 species
AACGAACGCUGGCGGCAUGCCUAACACAUGCAAGUCGAACGAGAUCUUCGGGUCUAGUGGCGCACGGGUGCGUAACGCGUGGGAAUCUGCCCUUUGGUUCGGAAUAACAGUUGGAAACGACUGCUAAUACCGGAUGAUGACGAAAGUCCAAAGAUUUAUCGCCAGAGGAUGAGCCCGCGUAGGAUUAGCUAGUUGGUGUGGUAAAGGCGCACCAAGGCGACGGUCCUUAGCUGGUCUGAGCGGAGGAUCAGCCACACUGGGACUGAGACAGGGCCCAGACUCCUACGGGAGGCAGCAGUGGGGAAUAUUGGACAAUGGGCGAAAGCCUGAUCCAGCAAUGCCGCGUGAGUGAUGAAGGCCUUAGGGGUGUAAAGCUCUUUUACCCGGGAUGAUAAUGACAGUACCGGGAGAAUAUGCUCCGGCUAACUCCGUGCCAGCCGCCGCCGUAA